GAGAAAGAAAGAAAAGAAUAAGUCCUGCUAAGACCUAUUAACCAUAGUUAAACUCCGUGGCUCUCUCA
rnacentral:tRNA from 1 species